rnacentral:rRNA from 1 species
UGCAGUCGAACGGUAACAUUUCUAGCUUGCUAGAAGAUGACGAGUGGCGGACGGGUGAGUAAUGCUUGGGAACUUGCCUUUGCGAGGGGGAUAACAGUUGGAAACGACUGCUAAUACCGCAUAAUGUCUUCGGACCAAACGGGGCUUCGGCUCCGGCGCAAAGAGAGGUCCAAGUGAGAUUAGCUAGUUGGUAAGGUAACGGCUUACCAAGGCGACGAUCUCUAGCUGUUCUGAGAGGAAGAUCAGCCACACUGGGACUGAGACACGGCCCAGACUCCUACGGGAGGCAGCAGUGGGGAAUAUUGCACAAUGGGGGAAACCCUGAUGCAGCCAUGCCGCGUGUGUGAAGAAGGCCUUCGGGUUGUAAAGCACUUUCAGUUGUGAGGAAAGGGGUGACGUUAAUAGCGUUACCUCUUGACGUUAGCAACAGAAGAAGCACCGGCUAACUCCGUGCCAGCAGCCGCGGUAAUACGGAGGGUGCGAGCGUUAAUCGGAAUUACUGGGCGUAAAGCGCAUGCAGGUGGUUCAUUAAGUCAGAUGUGAAAGCCCGGGGCUCAACCUCGGAACUGCAUUUGAAACUGGUGAACUAGAGUACUGUAGAGGGGGGUA